rnacentral:sRNA from 1 species
CUCUGGGUCCAACCUCCCACCCAUGUUUAUUGUACCUUGUUGCUUCGGCGGGCCCGCCUCACGGCCGCCGGGGGGCUUCUGCCCUCUGGCCCGCGCCCGCCGAAGACACCAUUGAACACUGUCUGAAGAUUGCAGUCUGAGCAAUUAGCUAAAUAAGUUAAAACUUUCAACAACGGAUCUCUUGGUUCCGGCAUCGAUGAAGAACGCAGCGAAAUGCGAUACGUAAUGUGAAUUGCAGAAUUCAGUGAAUCAUCGAGUCUUUGAACGCACAUUGCGCCCCUUGGUAUUCCGGGGGGCAUGCCUGUCCGAGCGUCAUUGCUGCCCUCAAGCACGGCUUGUGUGUUGGGCCCCGUCCUCCUUCCCGGGGGACGGGCCCGAAAGGCAGCGGCGGCACCGCGUCCGGUCCUCGAGCGUAUGGGGCUUUGUCACCCGCUCUUGUAGGCCCGGCCGGCGCUUGCCGACAACCAUCAAUCUUUUUUCAGGUUGACCUCGGAUCAGGUAGGGAUACCCGCUGAACUUAAGCAUAUCAAUAAGCGGAGGAA